GAUCAUGGCUCAGGACGAACGCUGGCGGCGUGCCUAACACAUGCAAGUCGAACGGACUUCAUCGGAGCUUGCUCUGAUGAAGUUAGUGGCGGACGGGUGAGUAACGCGUGAGCAACCUGCCUUACAGAGGGGGACAACAUUGGGAAACCGAUGCUAAUACCGCAUGACAUUGCGAAUUCGCAUGGAUUUGCAAUCAAAGGAGGAAUCCGCUGUAAGAUGGGCUCGCG
rnacentral:rRNA from 1 species